AAAACAUGUCUUUUUGUUUAUAUAAAAGGUCAGGCCUGCCCGGUGAAUUAUUUAACGGCCGCGGUAUAUUGACCGUGCAAAGGUAGCAUAAUCAUUAGUUUUUUAAUAGGGGACUGGUAUGAAAGGUUUAACGAAACAUAAACUAUCUUAUUUUUAUUUUUAUAAUUUAACUUUUGAGUUAAAAGGCUUAAAUUUUUUUGAGGGACGAGAAGACCCUAUAGAGCUUUACAUUAUUUAUUUUAUUAAUAUAUUUUAAUAAUAAAGUACUAUUAUAAAUAUUGUUUUGUUGGGGUGACAAUUAAUAUUUAAUUAACUUUAAUUAUUUAAUUUACAUUAAAUUUAUGAUUAUUUGAUCCAAUAUUAUUGAUUAUUAGAAUAAGUUACCUUAGGGAUAACAGCGUAAUCUUUUUUCAGAGACCAAAUUUACAAAAAGGCUUGCGACCUCGAUGUUGGAUUAAGAUUAUAGUUAGGUGCAGUAGCUUAAUGAAUAGGUCUGUUCGACCUUUAAAUUCUUACGUG
rnacentral:rRNA from 1 species